UGCAGUCGAGCGGAUGAGUGGAGCUUGCUCCAUGAUUCACCGGCGGACGGGUGAGUAAUGCCUAGGAAUCUGCCUGGUAGUGGGGGACAACGUUUCGAAAGGAACGCUAAUACCGCAUACGUCCUACGGGAGAAAGCAGGGGACCUUCGGGCCUUGCGCUAUCAGAUGAGCCUAGGUCGGAUUAGCUAGUUGGUGGGGUAAAGGCCUACCAAGGCGACGAUCCGUAACUGGUCUGAGAGGAUGAUCAGUCACACUGGAACUGAGACACGGUCCAGACUCCUACGGGAGGCAGCAGUGGGGAAUAUUGGACAAUGGGCGAAAGCCUGAUCCACCCAUGCCGCGUGUGUGAAGAAGGUCUUCGGAUUGUAAAGCACUUUAAGUUGGGAGGAAGGGCAGUAAGCUAAUACCUUGCUGUUUUGACGUUACCAACAGAAUAAGCACCGGCUAACUUCGUGCCAGCAGCCGCGGUAAUACGAAGGGUGCAAGCGUUAAUCGGAAUUACUGGGCGUAAAGCGCGCGUAGGUGGUUUGGUAAGAUGGAUGUGAAAUCCCCGGGCUCAACCUGGGAACUGCAUCCAUAACUGCCUGACUAGAGUACGGUAGAGGGUGGUGAAUUUCCUGUGUAGCGGUGAAAUGCGUAGAUAUAGGAAGGAACACCAGUGGCGAAGGCGACCACCUGGACUGAUACUGACACUGAGUGCGAAAGCGUGGGGAGCAACAGGAUUAGAUACCUGGUACUC
rnacentral:rRNA from 1 species